rnacentral:piRNA from 2 species
UAGCAGAAAAGGAGGCUGGUAAAAGGCUGC